UUCGCAAUGCCCGAAAGGGUGACGAAGCGACGCCGCGUGCGGGAAGAAGGCCUUCGGGUUGUAAACCGCUGUCGGGAGUUAAGAAAUGUAAGGAUGUUAAUAGCGUCUUUACUUGACUAAGGCUCCGGAGGAAGCCACGGCUAACUCUGUGCCAGCAGCCGCGGUAAUACAGAGGCGGCAAGCGUUGUUCGGAAUUAUUGGGCGUAAAGAGCACGUAGGCGGCUAUGUAAGUCGGUUGUGAAAGCCUUCCGCUCAACGGGAGAACAGCAUCCGAUACUGCAUGGCUUGAGUGUGAGAGGGGAGAGUGGAACUUCUGGUGGAGCGGUGAAAUGCGUAGAUAUCAGAAGGAACGCCGGCGGCGAAAGCGGCUCUCUGGCCCAUAACUGACGCUGAGUGUGCGAAAGCUAGGGGAGCAAACGGGAUUAGAUACCCCGGUAGUCCUAGCCGUAAACGAUGGGCACUAAGUAGAGGGGUUUU
rnacentral:rRNA from 1 species